rnacentral:rRNA from 1 species
CAUGCAAGUCGAGCGCGAAAGUCCGCAAGGAUGAGUAAAGCGGCGCACGGGUGAGUAACACGUGGAUAAUCUACCCUUUGGAUUGGAAUAACCUGUCGAAAGACGGGCUAAUGCCGAGUAAGCUCUCGGGAGCGUGAAGCUCUUGCGAGGAAAGAUGGCGCAAGCUAUCGCCGAUGGAUGAGUCUGCGUCCCAUUAGUUAGUUGGUGAGGUAACAGCUUACCAAGACGAUGAUGGGUACCUGGUCUGAGAGGAUGAUCAGGCACACUGGAACUGAAACACGGUCCAGACUCCUACGGGAGGCAGCAGUAGGGAAUAUUGCGCAAUGGACGAAAGUCUGACGCAGCCACGCCGCGUGAGUGAGGAAGGCCUUCGGGUUGUAAAGCUCUGUCAUCCGGGAAAAACGGCUAUCUGGGGAAAGUUCAGGUAGCGUGAUGGUACCGGAGGAGGAAGCACCGGCAAACUCUGUGCCAGCAGCCGCGGUAAUACAGAGGGUGCAAGCGUUGUUCGGAAUUACUGGGCGUAAAGCGUGCGUAGUCGGUAUUGAGAGUCACGGGUGAAAUCCCAGGGCUUAACCCUGGAACUGCCUGUGAGACCUCAGUACUAGAGUGUGAGAGGGGAUA